AAAAAAUGUUACGAAGUCAUGAGUCAUACCUUCGUGCUACCAUAAAAAAAAUCUACAAAAAAACACACAUUUGUGUGUUUCCAUAAAUCACAUUAUUUGACUGGUGUGUAGCUCCCCUGGUAAGAAUAAUAUUUGAAUCAGCAGCCAGCUAAGCUCCAAAAGCAUGUUCCCCUUUCAACCUUGAUUCAUAUUUGGUCCAUAAUAAUUUUCCACUCGUCUCUCUAUUAUUUUCAUGGACAACUCCCCAAUGUCAAUGUAAAGAAAAGAAAUACGUAAAAAUACAUAAACUACUUAUAAUAACCAGGCAUCCAAUAAAUUACGGGAAAAUUAGAUCCAAACGCAAAUAGAAGAUAUGUUUCUUAUUAAAAUAUUUAAUCAAAUCACGGGGAGAGACAAAAUUUCAAUGAUACCAAUUGAGAAUGUACUAUCAGACAGUAAUUCCGAAGGUGUCACAACAAAAGGGAAACAUUUUGGUGAAGGGGAACAGCCCUAAAUGAUGCUUUUCUAGGUCACCAAAGCCAUAUUGCUGCAUUGUCGUCAUCUUGACCUAUCCUAUAAAAUUAAAGAACCAUCAACCAUUGCUGACACUGACAAGCAGUUUUCUUAGUCAUGACUAGCCAUAUGCAAAACAAAAAAUAUCAAGAAAUAUGAAGACAAAUACUACUGAAAAUAACCUCAAGCCGCUACACCGAGUAUUAAAGUGUUCUAACUCAUCAUUCAUAUUCACAACCUGUCGUAAUUGACUCCAAGAAAAUUAUGAAGCUCCACGGGUAUCAAAAAGCUUCUCAACCAGCAAAUAUGAAACAAGAUUACGAAGCUCAAGCUGAUAAGUACUACACCUUCAUGAAGGCAAACAAAAACUAUAUCUUCAUAUGAUUAAAAGUUAGUUAUCAUACCUCUUCUACCACAGAGAGUGUUUUUUUUACGGUAACAUUUCCAGUAUGACAUUCUCCACAUUAUAAUUUAUUUCAAAAUGAGAUAAGAUUCCUCAAAACCUCCGUCUAUAUGAUUCAAAGGAUGUGCUGCUACAAAUUCAUAAAAAAUACUUGAGAAAAUCGAGUGGCCAACACAAGCACAACAAUUGAGUGAUAGCCGAAGGAGCACAAUAAUAUUUCCACUUCCUUGGAGGGGGCACAAAGGCAUUACACAAUUUCUGCUCUUCCAUGUUUUUUCAAGAAAACAAAGACAAAAAAUUGGAACUAAAAGGUAAGUACUGUCAGAAGGCAUGAAACGGAUGGAAAAUAAGACAAACGAAGAGCAGACCAUAGGUUGCAUAGGAAGUGGCCCCAACGGCGCCGAUGACUGUUGCUGCAACUCCAAACUUCAGAAAACCCCAAGCUCGCGAUCCCUUCGCGGCAUCCGCGCUCCCAGAAGUGGCGGCAGCUGAUUCAGCGGAAGAAGCGGCGGUCUGAUCCCCAAGGGUGGCGGCGCCGGAGGCGACGAUCUGCUCCUUCGAAGGAUUCGCAGAGACGGUAGGAGAGCAGAACGGCCGCCCUCCACUCCCGCACCUGUACACGUGGGGGAGGAGGCGGCGGGAUCGUACCAGCCAAGACAUGACCCUCCUGCUUCCUUCUCCCCUCUUCUCACUGAUCGAGCCAGCAACCGAGGGGGCUUCUCAGGGUUUUAGCAAGGUUUUCGAAGCAGAGGCGGAGCUCUGGAGUGGCGGAGAUGGGCAGUCGGACAGCGGCGAGGGCAGUUAGAAAUCUCCCGUUCAUGAAGGGCGGCGUUUUCUCCUUCUCACGGACAAAAAUACCCCUCCAGCAUCCGUAACGAACAGCGCCGAAAAUGGAAACCGGACCCGACAUCAAAAUC
rnacentral:lncRNA from 1 species